rnacentral:rRNA from 1 species
UACAGAGGUCUCGAGCGUUAGGCGGAAUCACUGGGCUUAAAGCGUGUGUAGGCGGAUCCGUAAGUACUUUGUGAAAUCCCACAGCUUAACUGUGGAACUGCUUGGUAUACUGCGGGUCUUGAGCCACUCAGGGGCGAGCGGAACAAAUGGUGGAGCGGUGAAAUGCGUAGAUAUCAUUUGGAACGCCAAUGGUGAAAACAGCUCGCUAGGGGUGUGCUGACGCUGAGACACGAAAGCCAGGGGAGCGAACGGG